GAUGAACGCUAGCUACAGGCUUAACACAUGCAAGUCGAGGGGAAACGAAAUUUGAAGCUUGCUUCCGAUAGGCGUCGACCGGCGCACGGGUGAGUAACGCGUAUCCAACCUGCCCACCACUUGGGGAUAACCUUGCGAAAGUAAGACUAAUACCCAAUGAUAUCUCUAGAAGACAUCUGCAGGAGAGUAAAGACUCAGCUGUGAUGGAUGGGGAUGCGUCUGAUUAGCUUGUGGGGGGGUUAACGGCCCACCAAGGCGACGAUCAGUAGGGGUUCUGAGAGGAAGGUCCCCCACAUUGGAACUGAGACACGGUCCAAACUCCUACGGGAGGCAGCAGUGAGGAGUAUUGGUCAAUGGGCGAGUGCCUGAACCAGCCAAGUAGCGUGCAGGAUGACGGCCCUAUGGGUUGUAAACUGCUUUUAUAAGGGAAUAAAGUGAGUCACGUGAGACUUUUUGCAUGUACCUUAUGAAUAAGGACCGGCUAAUUCCGUGCCAGCCGCCGCAGUAA
rnacentral:rRNA from 1 species